rnacentral:rRNA from 1 species
AUGCCGGCCGAGGAGCUGCGCCACGGCCCCGUCGGCGCCUUCUCCUGGCUCGGCAUCGCCUUCCUCACCGUCAACUCGGCCAUGGCGAUCCACAGGUCCAAAGGCGACCCGUCCGCGGUCGGCUUCGUGGCCUUCUCCUACCUCGACCUCGUACUGCUCUUCUACUUCCAUAGGAGGUUCGAGAGCGCCGCGCCCGGCUCACCGGCGAGACGGAGGCUCAAGGUGGCCGUCUGGGUCCUCACCACCAUGCUCACGGCCGUUCUAAGCUAUAAGGUGGCGGCUAUCAUGCCGCUGCCAGUGCAGAUCCUCGUUUGGGCCAUGGCCGGCGCCGCCACAGCAGGAGGAUUCUACGCCUUCUUCCUGUUCCGGGAAGGCAAGGAUGGUUAA